UGGGGAAUAUUGCACAAUGGUGGGAACUCUGAUGCAGCGACGCCGCGUGAACGAAGAAGGCUUUCGAGUCGUAAAGUUCUUUUAUAUGGGAAGAUAAUGACGGUACCAUAAGAAAAAGCCCCGGCUAACUACGUGCCAGCAGCCGCGGUAAUACGUAGGGGGCUAGCGUUGUCCGGAAUCACUGGGCGUAAAGGGUUCGCAGGCGGAAAUGCAAGCCAGGUGUAAAAUGCAGUAGCUUAACUACUGUAAGCAUUUGAAACUGCAUAUCUUGAGAAGAGUAGAGGUAAGUGGAAUUUUUAGUGUAGCGGUGAAAUGCGUAGAUAUUAAAAAGAAUACCGGUGGCGAAGGCGACUUACUGGGCUCAUUCUGACGCUGAGGAACGAAAGCGUGGGUAGCAAACAGG
rnacentral:rRNA from 1 species